GACGUAGGGCGCGAGCGUUGUCCGGAUUUAUUGGGCGUAAAGAGCUCGUAGGCGGCUUGUCGCGUCGACUGUGAAAUCCCCGCGGCUCAACCGCGGGUCUGCAGUCGAUACGGGCAGGCUAGAGUUCGGUAGGGGAGACUGGAAUUCCUGGUGUAGCGGUGAAAUGCGCAGAUAUCAGGAGGAACACCGAUGGCGAAGGCAGGUCUCUGGGCCGAUACUGACGCUGAGGAGCGAAAGCGUGGGGAGCGAACAGG
rnacentral:rRNA from 1 species